ACGGGUGAGUAAUGUCUGGGGAUCUGCCCGAUAGAGGGGGAUAACCACUGGAAACGGUGGCUAAUACCGCAUAACGUCGCAAGACCAAAGAGGGGGACCUUCGGGCCUCUCACUAUCGGAUGAACCCAGAUGGGAUUAGCUAGUAGGCGGGGUAACGGCCCACCUAGGCGACGAUCCCUAGCUGGUCUGAGAGGAUGACCAGCCACACUGGAACUGAGACACGGUCCAGACUCCUACGGGAGGCAGCAGUGGGGAAUAUUGCACAAUGGGCGCAAGCCUGAUGCAGCCAUGCCGCGUGUAUGAAGAAGGCCUUCGGGUUGUAAAGUACUUUCAGCGGGGAGGAAGGCGGUGUGGUUAAUAACCGCAUUGAUUGACGUUACCCGCAGAAGAAGCACCGGCUAACUCCGUGCCAGCAGCCGCGGUAAUACGGAGGGUGCAAGCGUUAAUCGGAAUUACUGGGCGUAAAGCGCACGCAGGCGGUCUGUUAAGUCAGAUGUGAAAUCCCCGGGCUUAACCUGGGAACUGCAUUUGAAACUGGCAGGCUUGAGUCUCGUAGAGGGGGGUAGAAUUCCAGGUGUAGCG
rnacentral:rRNA from 1 species